GGUCCCUGCUGUGACUACAGUAUCAGCCCUGGUCCCACUGUGGAUCUUUCUUGGAGCCCCUGGGUGACUCCCACAGUGGAGGAGGGGCUCUUUGUCACAGUGGCUGACCCAGCUCCUGCACCUGGACUCUGGACCCUGCUCCAGGUCAUCCACACAAACUCCACAGGAGUUUCCCAGCAUGCCUCGGCUGUGGAGCUGAGGGAGAGCUGUUUGUCCUGCUGCCCUGUGAGUUUCCCACUUUUGAACUGGACAGCCCCACAGUGGUGUGGAGUCGCUCCGACCUCAGUCCUCCAACCGUCCACCAGCAUCAAGGAGACGAACUGAAAGAUCCAAACCAGCGUUACAGCGGCCGAACAUCCAUGAAGACUGACGCUCUGGAAACUGGAGACCUCAGCCUGAACCUGACCAACCUCCACCUGUCUGACAGCGCCACCUACACCUGCUCCGUCAGAUCAUUUAGACUGAGAGAUGUCCCACUGCAGGUCAAAGAACCAUUUCCAUCCUGGGCCACAGCUCUGCUGGUUCUGCUGGUUCUGCUGGCUCUUCUGGUUCUCCUGGUUCUGCUGGUUCUCCUGGUUCUUCUGGUUGUCCUGGUUCUCCUGGUUCUUGUUCUCAUCGUCUCUGGAGGUCUUUUAUUUCAUUUCUGGCACUAUUUUAAGUCAGCAGGACUGUGCGGUGACGCGCUGUCAGGAGGAGACAGGUCUGCGACAGGAGCCCCGCCCCCUUGUUCUUCUGGCCGGUGUGGUUUCCAUCCCGGAAGAGAAAUUCCUCUCCUGUUUCAGAUAAGGAACAUUUGCCCGCGUGUGGCUGGACUGUGGGAUUAUGGGAAUUUUAGCAUAUGGAAACAUUUGUUUAGCCUUUGUGUUGACAGUGUAGAGUUAUUUCUGCAGCAGGGUUUUAAGUGUGUUGAGACUCUUUUUAUUGUAUAGGGGAUUUAACCUGUAACUCUGGUUGUGUCUGUUUCCAUGGAAAUAAAUGGUGUGUUUAAGGCCAACUUAGUGUCUGUGCCCUGAGCACUGACCCACUCACUCCCCUUCUAUUUGUAUGUGAACGCACUUUGAGGUGCAGAUUUAGAUCCACCACUUUAAGCGGCUACACUAACACUCAGAGAGUCAGUUGGAGGUGGAGGAGGGGGCGGAGUCUGUCCGGCUGCCUGAGGACACUCAGGUGGAGUGGUGGCACCGUCCUGAGAAGCCUGACAAACAGCAGCAGCAUCACAGAGACCGAGUGAAAGAAAGACGAGCGUGUGAAAAGCGGACAGUUCAGCCUGACCCUUAAACACCCCACAGAGAGAGACAGAUACAGCUGUGUGGCCUGGAGCCAGGGAAACAUCAUCGGAUGGAGAGUCGUGCUGCUCACAGUUACAGGGACGGUUCAGGUCCAGGAUCAAACAUCAGGAACAGAAGCAGCUCCAUUGAUCCGACUCCUCUGAUGGCUGAUCAAUCAGUUUGAUCUGUUUGAUUAUUGAUCAGUGAUGUCAGAGUGGAGUCAGUGUGAUGAUCAGUUUAUGUCAGUAUGUCCAUGAAGGUUCUCCAUCAUCCAGGUCAUCGUAGUCGAAGGAGCUUGGAAAGAAAAGCGUCUGGACUUCUUUAAGUUGCUUGAAGACGUUUCACCUUCAUCUGAGAAGCUUCUUCAGUUCUAGGGCUUAAAUCUGGGACUCUUCAAAUGGUGAAGAGUCCCAGAUUUAACUCUGUUGGAGUGUCCCCCUAAGAUCCCUUCCCAGACGCCUUAACGCCCACUCACAUCCUGGGCCAUCUGACCUCAGGAAAUCCCAUGAUAGGAUGGCCACCGCUGGAGAUUGACCACUGCCAGCUUCAUCUGAAACUCAAGGUUGAGGUCACAAAACCACAAGACAGAAAUAAUCCCAAGGUUUUUCUUUGCCCAAGAAGCUGUGGAACAUUUGCUGAAUGUCAGUUAUACUGCAAAGGGUUUGCACUUGAAACAUACAAGCAAACUGUUAUUUAGACCUGAGCCUGGCGUAGCACAUGAAAAAGGGACAUAGUAUUGUACUGAGCACUGAAGUUACACUCAGUAGCACAGGAACAGAGCGGGAGGGAGAGAGAGAGAGCCAGGGACAACAACGUCACAUUAGAAAGGUAUAGUAAUCAUCCACAACUAUUUUCAGUUGCAGAUCAUAAAGGAUUCAGAAAGUUUAUUCAUGCAGGCCCAUAUGACAGAGAAUAUGCAUCUUCUUUUUGUUUUCAUAUUUUAAUUUAUAUUUAAUUGUGUUGUGGUUUGCAGUGUUUUGUGUUGUUUCACUUUACAUUGGUUUAAAAGGAAAAAGCUGAAAAUUUAAAUAGUUAAAAGUUGAAAAGUUGGUUUUUGUAUUAUAUGAUUUAUUCAGUACAUUUUAUCUGGAGUGAAUAAAUAAAAGUAUAUUUGCGGUGGCCCCUACAGACAAAGCAGCACGUACAAACUCCAAAACAUGUACAAACACAACAGAAGUGCUCCAGGAUGCGCAGUGUUGAGCUUUUGUUACCUAGUGGCUACACAAGCCAGCAAGUACCAACAACCGGAUUUGGUGUGUGGUAGUAACAGGUAAAUGAACUUUUUUUUUAAAUUAUUUGAAUAUAUAUGAGUGCUUGUGUAUAAAUACACAAACAAUACACAUAUGCUUUCAACUGUGUAAUUUAAGUGAUCUAGGUAGCUCUGUUUUGGAAGUUCAGUUCAUGCUACAAAUGUGUUUUGGAGUUUGUACGUGCUUUGUCUCUAGGGGCCAUUUAAACAUAUAUGUAUAUAAACAUAUAUAAAUAAAAACACUUUUUUAACAUUAGUAAUUCCUUUUGUGCAUAAUUUUAUAUUAUUGUUAAUAAUAAAUUAAUUAAAGCAACAAAACAACUGAAGAGCCAGUUCUCUGGUCCCCUCCCCAAUCAGACCAGGAGUGACAUGUUUAGCCGCAUGUUCUCCUUAAAUUGCUGGCUGUCUGAGUGGUGUCCCAGAAACGAUGUGGGCUUCAUAGAUAAUUGGCAAACCUUCUGGAGGAAACC
ensembl:lncRNA